UACGGAGGGUGCAAGCGUUGUCCGGAUUCAUUGGGUUUAAAGGGUGCGCAGGCGGGACAUUAAGUCAGGGGUGAAAGACGGUUGCUCAACAAUCGCAGUGCCUUUGAUACUGGUGUUCUUGGGUAACCUUGAGGUAGGCGGAAUGGGUGGUGUAGCGGUGAAAUGCAUAGGUACCACCCAGAACUCCGAUUGCGAAGGCAGCCUACUGGAGGUCAACCGACGCUCAGGCACGAAAGCGUGGGGAUCAAACAGG
rnacentral:rRNA from 1 species